UAAAACCUCUCAUUUUCUAGCAGCUAAACACUCUUGGGUUGGGAUAAAUAACAUUUCUUUAGAUUCUUGCUAUUGUUCUCGUUGAAGGAGGAGAAAAUGACCCUAGUGUUUGUUCAUAUGAUGAAAUUAUAAGAAAUUAUCGAACAAUAAAAACUACACAUACACAAACAUGAUCGGUUUUAAAAUAUCCCUUAAUUUUUUUUAUUAAUGAUUUUUUAUUUAUUUUUUAAUGUAUAAUGUAACGUAAUUAACCACUUCGCACAACAUAUGGUAUAUUUGUGUCAAAAUAUUGAUAAACUAAUUAUUUUCAAAUAUAUUGCAUCAAAGAACAUAAGGGCAUUUAUUGUGGGAAUGAUAUCGUAAAAACUAAAACAUCGGAUGCUAACACUGCCUACAUGUAUAAGAGUUUUAGGUCAUUAUCUGAUAUUACUUUCGGCAUGUCCUGUAGUUUCAAAUUGAAACCCUUCGUAAAUUAUGGAAAAUAAGGUUAAAAAUAGUUUGUAGGAUAGAAAAAGGACCCUUGUUACCUGUCAAAUCUGCGUCAAAAAUUUGACAUUUAACAUAUCAAAAUACAAAUUAAUUUCUCAUUAACAGGUGAUCUUCCUAUUAGAGUUAAAUUUAGACUCUUUCCUGAAUUGAUGAUACCCUGUGUUCAAAGGAAAUCUCCUUGUGUGACGACGCCAUAACGGAUGACCAACAUUCUUCGAAAACUAACCGAAUGCAAGUGAACGGCGGGUGAACGCUGAUCACGAACGAACCACGGACACAUGACUAAGAAUGAUAAGUUAAUGGCAGACGAAAGGAGAGCACAAGAAAAUCCAUGACCUUUGAUCAAUCUAUUGGCUCAUAUAGGCUCAUGAUACUGAGGCAAAAUAUAUGAUUGUUCAGUACCUGUAUGUAGAUGACAAUGGAAAUAAAUCCGUUAGAACUUGUU